rnacentral:rRNA from 1 species
GUGAGGAAUAUUGCGCAAUGGAGGCAACUCUGACGCAGCCAUGCCGCGUGCAGGAAGAAGGCGCUACGCGUUGUAAACUGCUUUUAACCGGGAAGAAACCCCAGGACGCGUCCUGGGUUGACGGUACCGGAGGAAUAAGCACCGGCUAACUUCGUGCCAGCAGCCGCGGUAAUACGAAGGGUGCAAGCGUUAUCCGGAUUCAUUGGGUUUAAAGGGUGCGUAGGCGGAGCGUUAAGUCAGUGGUGAAAUCCUGCAGCUUAACUGUAGACUUGCCAUUGAUACUGGCGCUCUUGAGUGCGCUUGAAGUGGGCGGAAUGUGCCGUGUAGCGGUGAAAUGCUUAGAUAUGGCACAGAACACCAAUUGCGAAGGCAGCUCACUAAGGCGAUACUGACGCUGAGGCACGAAAGCGUGGGGAUCGAACAGGAUUAGAAACCCCUGUAGUCC